rnacentral:rRNA from 1 species
GUAGGUGGCGAGCGUUAUCCGGAAUGAUUGGGCGUAAAGGGUGCGUAGGCGGCGUGCCAAGUCUGGAGUGAAAAGGAGGGGCUCAACCCCUGCUGGCUUUGGAAACUGGCAUGCUGGAGAGCAGGAGAGGGCGGUGGAACUCCAUGUGUAGCGGUAAAAUGCGUAGAUAUAUGGAAGAACACCAGUGGCGAAGGCGGCCGCCUGGCCUGUUACUGACGCUGAGGCACGAAAGCGUGGGGAGC